CCUACGGGAGGCAGCAGUGAGGAAUAUUGGUCAAUGGGCGUAAGCCUGAACCAGCCAAGUCGCGUGAGGGAUGAAGGUUCUAUGGAUCGUAAACCUCUUUUAUAAGGGAAUAAAGUGCGGGACGUGUCCCGUUUUGUAUGUACCUUAUGAAUAAGGAUCGGCUAACUCCGUGCCAGCAGCCGCGGUAAUACGGAGGAUCCGAGCGUUAUCCGGAUUUAUUGGGUUUAAAGGGUGCGUAGGCGGCCUUUUAAGUCAGCGGGGAAAGUUCGUGGCUCAACCAUAGAAUUGCCGUUGAAACUGGGAGGCUUGGGGAGGUGUGAGGCAGGCGGAAUGCGUGGGGUAGCGGUGAAAUGCUUAGAUAUCACGCAGAACCGCGAUUGCGAAGGCAGCCUGCCAAGCCAUGACUGACGCUGAUGCACGAAAGCGUGGGGAUCAAACAGGAUUAGAUACCCCUGGUAGUC
rnacentral:rRNA from 1 species